rnacentral:misc_RNA from 1 species
AACGCAUAUUGCGCUCAAGGCUUCGGCCAAGAGCAUGUCUGCCUCAGCGUCGGGUUAAUAUCGCUCUCUCUAUACUUAUGUAUAGUAACUUGAGCGGACCUGGCUGUUCCAGUCGGUCCUUAUGUAUGUAUGUAUGUACAUACGUAAGGCUCUGGAUCAGCUGAAGAACAGAGGUUAGCUCAAGGACCGCUAAGGGCCGCAACUGGGUAGGCAGCUCACGCUUGCUAUAUUAUCUUAGUUGUUGGCUUGGGACUUGUCGGCUUGACCCUCAAUCAGGAACCCUUACUUAUUUUCUCGACCUGAGCUCAGGCAAGAACACCCGCUGAACUUAA